AUUAAAUUUAUAUUAUAUUGAAAAUUUAUUAUUUCAUACAGUUAAUUUGACAGCAUGAUCUUUAAAAUAAUGUGAAUUUAUAAUCAGUUAUUUUUAAAGUUAAUUUCAGUUCAAUUAAAUUAUUUUCUCAGCAUGUUACAUUUGUAUUAAAUAGUUCAGCAUAUUUAGAAUUUUUUUCUAAAAACCAUCAGAAAGUACCCAGGUGAUUUUACCCCAGUUUGCACUGAUGUGAAUGUGUUUCCACAGUGUAUGACUAGUUAUAGUGAUUUUACCCGCUCUGCACUAUUGUGAAUGUGUUUCCAUAGUGUAUGACCAGAUUAUCAGAGGUCUUUGGGACCCACUCUCGUACACAAAUAGGCUUUGGGCCGUGUACUAGGGUGAUUAGCCUUUGGGGCAGCUCUGCGUACGUAUGACCAGAUUAUCAGAUUAUCAGAUUUGAAUGGCUUUGCCUUGUACAUCGAGAUUACUCUGUACAUGAGUAAGGCUAUUCAUUGGGUACUCUUUAUGGUGUGAUUUUUCAGGUUGGUUUUGUCCAUGUUACAGGGGAAACUCUGUCAAAAUUUUUAUAGAUAUUAGCACAGUCAAAAUAGGUCAAGUUUGCCUUGGUGGUGGGUCCGGUAUUUUGCUGGUAUCUACUACCGGCGCACGACACGUGUCGAGUCAAUUAGGUUGAGUCGGGACGGGUCGUGUCAAUUUGGAAACUCUGUCAAAAUUUUUAUAGAUAUUAGCACAGUCAAAAUAGGUCAAGUUUGCCUUGGUGGUGGGUCCGGUAUUUUGCUGGUAUCUACUACCGGCGCACGACACGUGUCGAGUCAAUUAGGUUGAGUCGGGACGGGUCGUGUCAAUUGGUAUCAGAGCAUGGUCUUAGAGUUUAUGAGUAGCAUUGCAUGUAUCUGAUGUUGGUAUGUUACACCUUAUUGUAGGUAAGUCAUGCGAGGUAGAGGCAGAACCCGCAGGCACCAAAAUCCAGUAUCUCAAGCUCCAAAUACUCCUGAAGAAAGACAUGUUGGAGGGGUCAGUGGGGCUGCUGAAUCAGUGCACCAGUCUCAGGUGCAACCUGACCCCAUCACUGAUAGAAUAGCUGCGGCUAUUGCUUCCCUUCUACCAAAUACUGAUAGAGAUAAUUCUAUAGAGAGAGCGAUGAAACUUGGAGCAAAAUUUUUUAUGGGUACAUCUAAUCCAGCCGAUGCCGAACUUUGGAUGAAGACUGUGGAAAGCAUAUUUGAUGUGAUUGAAUGCUCCGAGGAUAAAAAAUUACGCAUUGCUGUAUUUUUAUUGAAAGGGGGAGCUGCUGAUUGGUGGAUUUCAUUUCGAAGUCGGUAUCCAGAUCCUAGUGUUAUCACCUGGACUAUUUUCAAGGAAGCUUUUUUUGAGACAUAUUAUCCACCAUUUUAUCGCGACGCAAAGCAAAACGAAUUUUUAAGAUUGGUUCAGGGGUCUAUGACAGUUGCUGAAUAUCAUGUAAAGUUUGUUGAAUUGUCUAAAUAUGCAAGUGCUUUGGUUGCUGAGGAAAGAGAUAGGUGUAGACGGUUUGAGCAAGGGUUGAGAGCUGAAAUUCGACCUAUGGUUACUGCGCAUGGGCAUCAAAAUUUUGGUUUGUUGGUUGAGGCGGCAUUAAGAGUUGAGACAGCUAUUCGUGAAGGAAGUAAUCAAGGAGCACAGGUGACCUUUCGAGGUGGUAGUAAUCAAUCAGGAGCUUCAGGAGAGAGGUUCAAGAAGAACAGAAAAGGAUUUUGGCCAGGUGCCACUAAAUCUGGCAAUUUUAAAUCUAAGUCUGGGAGUUCUAGCUCUAGUCAAGGAUCAAGACAUAGCCAGAGUUUUGGACAGCAGUCAGUGGGAAGCCAUUCUUUUGUACAGGGUCCUUCACAGAGAACUCAAGGAGCGAGACAGAUUGAGGUUUCUGAUCAUAGGAGCUUUCCACAGUGCCAGUCUUGUGGGAAGUUUCAUCCAGGCGAGUGUCUUAGAGGGGCUGGAGUUUGUUAUCAGUGUGGUCAGAUGGGACACAUAAGGAAGGAUUGUCCAGCCAGAUCUCAGCAGAUUGGAACAUCUCAGAUAGUAUCUCCUCAGCCAGGGAUCGGUAUGACCAGACAGAACAGGGAUCAAAGAACUCCAUCAGCAGGGUCGAUGGGGAACACACAAGCUAAUUCUGCUAGGGGUAGUGCUUCUAGACAGGGAGCCCAGGCAGGUCGAUCUAGGACUCAAGGCAAGGUGUUUGCUAUGACGCAGCAGGAGGCAGAGGAGUCACCAGAUGUGGUAGUGGGUAUGUUAUCUAUUUUUGGUAGAAAAGCUCGUUCUUUAAUUGAUUCGGGUGCUACGCAUUCCUUUAUUUCUCACACACUUGCUAGCUAUGCUGAUCAAAUGUCAGAGCCUUUAGAUAAUGAAUUGGUAGUAGUGACUCCAGUAGGGGACUCACUUUUAGCAAAUCGUGUAUAUAAAGAUUGUGGGAUUAGAGUGAACAAUCAUGAGUUGAAAGCAGAUUUAAUUCCUCUUGACAUUCAUGAUUUUGAUGUUAUUUUGGGGAUGGAUUUUCUAUCUAAUCACCGUGCUUCGGUUGAUUAUUUUCGCAAGGAAGUGGUAUUUAAAUGCCCAGGAGAGCUUGAAAUUGUUCUCACUGGAGAGCGCAGAAUUUUGCCAUCCUGUGUAAUAUCGGUCCUAGAUGCUCGCAGAAUGCUCAAAAAGGGUUGUGAUGCAUAUUUGGCCCAUGUAAUUGAUACUCAGAUUACAAAGCGGGAAAUUGAUGAUAUAUCAGUUGUGCGAGAUUUUUCUGAUGUCUUUCCAGAAGAUCUUCCGGGAUUGCCUCCAGACAGAGAGAUAGAAUUUUGUAUUGAUUUGAUUCCCGGGACAACACCUAUUUCACAGGCACCUUACAGAAUGGCUCCAGCAGAGCUAAAGGAAUUGAAAGUUCAGUUGCAGGAUUUAGUUGAUAAGGGUUUUAUUAGACCCAGUGUAUCUCCAUGGGGAGCUCCAGUCUUAUUUGUUAAGAAGAAAGAUGGCACAAUGAGAUUAUGUAUUGACUACAGACAGUUGAAUAAAGUGACAGUCCGCAACAAGUAUCCGUUGCCUCGCAUUGAUGAUUUGUUUGACCAACUUAGAGGUGCCUCAGUAUUUUCAAAGAUUGAUUUACGUUCAGGUUAUCAUCAGCUCAGAAUUAGAGAUGUUGAUAUACCAAAGACUGCUUUUCGGUCUCGGUAUGGUCAUUAUGAAUUUUUGGUGAUGCCGUUUGGAUUAACUAAUGCCCCAGCUGCAUUUAUGGAUUUGAUGAAUAGGGUGCUUCACCCAUAUUUAGAUAAGUUUGUGAUUGUUUUUAUUGAUGAUAUCUUAGUUUACUCUCGCAGUAGAGAUGAGCAUGCUGAGCAUUUGAGGAUUAUUUUGCAAACUUUGCGAGAUAAGGAGUUGUAUGCUAAGUUCAGCAAAUGUGAAUUUUAGUUGGAUAAAGUUGUGUUUUUGGGUCAUGUCAUCUCAGCAGAAGGCAUUUUUGUAGAUCCUCAGAAAAUUGAGGCAGUUAGGAGAUGGGAACGCCCUACUAAUGUUACAGAAGUACGGAGUUUCCUUGGGCUAGCAGGUUAUUAUCGUCGAUUUGUAGAGAAUUUUUCCAAAAUUGCCCUUCCUUUGACUAGUUUGACUCGGAAGAAUACGAAAUUUGUGUGGAAUGAGGAAUGUGAAAAGAGUUUUCUAGAGUUGAAGGAAAGGUUGACUUCUGCUCCUAUACUUACUCUUCCUUCUCCGGGUGAAGAGUUUGUAAUUUAUAGUGAUGCUUCACGCCAAGGAUUGGGUUGUGUUUUAAUGCAAAAUGGGAAAGUUGUAGCUUAUGCUUUAAGGCAAUUGAAGAAUCAUGAGUUAAACUACCCAACUCAUGAUUUGGAGUUAGUUGCAAUAGUGUUGGCAUUGAAGAUUUGGAGGCAUUAUCUUUAUGGUGAGAAAUGUCAAAUAUUUACUGAUCACAAAAGUUUGAAGUAUAUUUUUGAUCAGAAGGAACUGAAUUUGAGGCAGAGAAGAUGGUUGGAGUUGAUUAAGGAUUAUGAUUGUAAGAUUGAUUACCAUCCAGGGAAAGCUAAUGUGGUUGCAGAUGCUCUCAGUAGAAAGACUAGUUCUUCCUCUUCAGCUAGUGCAGUUUAUGCGUCUUUGAUUUGCGAAUUGAAGAAAUUGCAUGCUCAUUUGUCAGCUAUUACUUCAGGUGCUGUAUUAGCUCAUUUUCAGGUGAGGCCUACUUUGAUUGAUAAGGUUAGAGAAGCUCAAUCUCAAGACCAGACAUUGAGAAUAUUGAAAGCAGAAGUUAGUACUGGGUUAAGAAUGGAUUAUGUGAUUAGAGAUGAUGGGGCGUUGGCUAUGGGUACUAGAUUAUGUGUUCCAGAUAUUCCAGAAUUGAAGAAAGAGAUUUUGGAAGAGGCACACAGUUCUGCUUAUGCUAUGCAUCCAGGUAGUAUUAAAAUGUAUCAUACAUUGAAAGAUCAUUAUUGGUGGCUUGGUAUGAAGAGAGAGAUAGCAGAUUUUGUAUCCAAAUGCCUUAUAUGUCAGCAGGUAAAGCCAGUUCGUCAGAAAACAGCAGGGCUUUUACAACCAUUACCUAUUCCAGAGUGGAAAUGGGAACACAUUACUAUGGACUUUUUAUUUGGUCUUCCUCGUACUCAAAAUGGUCAUGAUGGAGUUUGGGUGAUUGUAGAUCGUUUGACCAAAACUGCCAAGUUCUUACCGAUCAAAGCCACUUAUACUUUAAAUAAGUUGGCAAAGUUGUAUGUGGAUGAGAUAGUGAGCUCAUAUGGUACUCCAUUAUCUAUUGUGUCUGAUAGAGACCCUCGUUUUACAUCUAAAUUUUGGCCCAGUUUACAAGAAGUCAUGGGUACUAAAUUACAUUUCAGUACAGCUUUUCAUCCUCAGACAGAUGGCCAAUCAGAGAGGACCAUAUAGACUCUUGAGGAUAUGUUGAGGGCAUGUGUUUUAGAGUUCAAAGGUAGUUGGGAUUCACAUUUGUCAUUGAUGGAUUUUGCUUACAAUAACAGCUACCACUCCAGUAUAGAAAUGGCUCCUUUUGAAGCUUUAUAUGGUCGAAAGUGCAGAACACCAGUUUGUUGGGAUGAAGCUGGUAAG
rnacentral:lncRNA from 1 species